rnacentral:rRNA from 1 species
GAUGAACGCUGGCGGCGUGCCUAAUACAUGCAAGUCGAGCGAACAGACGAGGAGCUUGCUAUCCUGACGUUAGCGGCGGGCGGGUGAGUAACACGUGGAUAACCUACCUAUAAGACUGGGAUAAAUUCGGGAAACCGGAGCGAAUACCGGCGCAUAUAUUGAACCGCAUGGUUCAAUAGUGAUAGGCGGUUUGGCUGUCACGUAUAGAUGGAUCCGCGCGGCAUUAGCUAGUUGGUAGGGUAACGGCCUACGAAGGCAACGAUGCGUAGCCGACCUGAGAGAGUGAUCGGCCGCACGGGAACUGAGACGGGGUCCAGGCUCCUACGGGAGGCAGCAGUAGGGAACCUGCGGCAAUGGGCGAAAGCCUGACGGAGCAACGCGGCGUGAGUGACGAAGGUCUUCGGAUCGUAAUGCUCUGUUAUGAGGGAAGAACAACUGUGUGAGGAAACAUGGACGUCGUGACGGUACCUAAACAGAAAGCCACGGCUAACUACGUG